rnacentral:lncRNA from 1 species
UCCUACCUGCUGGUGUGAGGUGUCACACCAUCACAUCUCAUCCCUCGAUUAAUUGAGUUGUGAAGCCAAUUGGAUUGGAGUUCAUCCUGCUUUUCUGCGGCGUCUGACAUGCAUACAAAGUAGAGGGUCUGCAUAUCCAGACCUCCGUGAAGAUUUAUAUCAAAUAAUUUAUGAUUUGAUCUCUGAUUUCACUACAAUUCAGGUAAGGAUUUGAUCCUUAAAUAAGUAGAAAACUAAAAAAAAUUUUUAGAUGCAACUUGGGCAUUCUGGAGGAAAACUGUUUCCUCCCCUUC